rnacentral:rRNA from 1 species
CAGUCGCCGCGGUAAUACGAAGGGGGCUAGCGUUGCUCGGAAUGACUGGGCGUAAAGGGCGCGUAGGCGGCGGCCAAAGUCAGGCGUGAAAUUCCCGGGCUCAACCUGGGGACUGCGUUUGAUACUUGGUUGCUUGAGUGGGGAAGAGGGUCGUGGAAUUCCCAGUGUAGAGGUGAAAUGCGUAGAUAUUGGGAAGAACACCGGUGGCGAAGGCGACGACCUGGUCCUUUACUGACGCUGAGGCGCGAAAGCGUGGGGAGCAAACAGGAUUAGAUACCCCAGUAGUCCCUGUCUCUUAUAC